AUUGAACGCUGGCGGCAUGCCUAACACAUGCAAGUCGAACGGCAGCAUGAGUAGGGGUAACCUUACUUGAUGGCGAGUGGUGGACGGGUGAGUAAUAUGUAGGAAUCUACCUAGAGGAAGGGGAUAACUUGGGGAAACCCAAGCUAAUACCAUAUAAGCCCUACGGGGGAAAGCAGGGGAUCGUAAGACCUUGCGCCUUA
rnacentral:rRNA from 1 species